CUGCUUCUACUUUCUGUAUGGAGCUGGGAGCGUCUGCCUGUUGGAGGCCCGAAGAGCGUCAGGUUUGAUCCUUGGUAUGCAGAUGAACAUGACGAAUUACGGCGCCCCACGUGGGCUUACAAGUGGGAUAUCGUUUCCGAGAUGACGAACGAUGUCAAUCUCAUGUACCAAAAGUACAUUGCCGAGUUGGACACGAUUACGCCUGAGCAGGUAAGGAGGUCAUUACUUUAG
rnacentral:rRNA from 1 species